rfam:Echinostoma caproni strain Egypt genome assembly, scaffold: ECPE_scaffold0001742
GGCCUCGUAGCUCAGCUGGUAGAGCAUGCGCGUACAAAGCGUGGGCGGUGUCCAUGCGUGCGUUCGAAUCCCACCGAGGCUA